rnacentral:rRNA from 1 species
GAUGAACGCUGGCGGUGUGCCUAAUACAUGCAAGUCGAGCGAACAGACGAGGAGCUUACUCCUCUGACGUUAGCGGCGGACGGGUGAGUAACACGUGGAUAACCUACCUAUAAGACUGGGAUAACUUCGGGAAACCGGAGCUAAUACCGGAUAACAUGUUGAACCGCAUGGUUCAACAGUGAAAGACGGUCUUGCUGUCACUUAUAGAUGGAUCCGCGUCGCAUUAGCUAGUUGGUAAGGUAACGGCUUACCAAGGCAACGAUGCGUAGCCGACCUGAGAGGGUGAUCGGCCACACUGGAACUGAGACCCGGUCCAGACUCCUACGGGAGGCAGCAGUAGGGAAUCUUCCGCAAUGGGCGAAAGCCUGACGGAGCAACGCCGCGUGAGUGAAGAAGGUCUUCGGAUCGUAAAACUCUGUUAUUAGGGAAGAACAAAUGUGUAAGUAACUAUGCACGUCUUGACGGUACCUAAUCAGAAAGCCACGGCUAACUACGUG